rnacentral:lncRNA from 1 species
UCCAAUAUAUUAAAAAUCUUAUUAAUUGAGAAUAUUUGUGUUAGGAGACACUUUCUCUCUAAUUCAUUUUCAAAUGUAGGUUAGGAUUAUAAGGAGUUGAAAUAGGCUUAACUUCAUAAUAGUUGAAGUUUUUUCAACUUCUCAAUGUAAUGUGAUUGAGUUAAAAUACACUCAUUAUGAUAGUUUAUUAAUUUGAUACCUGAUAUAAACCAACUAGACCUAAGUCUUUCAUGUAA